AGUAUAUUCUCAUAGCUGAAUAUCAUUUUUUAUUUCUGGAAAGUAAUCUUGUUUCUUUGUUUUUCUAUUAAGCUUUUUUGAACCAUUUAAUAUGUGAGAACUGUGAGGGUAGAGAAUUUACUAGUGUUAAGUAAAACGUUUUUGUACCUUUGGUAUCAGGGUUUGUUAAAAUUGGUCAUUCAUUUGUUUUUCCCGAAGAAAAGAGAGUUAUUUGGCUAUUUGUUUCUUGUUGCAAAAAGGGACUUAAUGGUCAGGUGGAAGCGAGAUGUUAGCCGUUCUUUUGGUUAUCUGGUUCUUGUAGAAAUUUAGUAAGGCGUUAGAAGUAGCAGAAAAUUUAUUAGGGAUAAGCUUAAUAUUUUAUACUUAUAUAGAAAUAGGAAUAGUACUAUUAAAGGAUUAAUAGUGUCUUUGUGUUUUGUAACUUAUUGUUGUCCUUAUAUAUUAAUUGGUUAUAUAAGGGUGUCUUAAAAUUUUUUUUGUUAGUAAUAAUGGUAGAAUUAGUAGAUUUGAUUUUAGUAUGUAAAUUUAGGUGUGUUAUUUAAGGUAUGUUUUCUAAUAGGUUUUGGUAAGGAACUCGGCAACAAUCUUUCUUAACUGUUUAUCAAAAACAUUUCUUUAAGUAAGGAUUUAAAGUAUAUUCUGCCCACUGAUUAAUCUAUUAAAUGGCCGCAGUAGCC
rnacentral:rRNA from 1 species